GCAAGUCGAGCGGUAACAUUUCUAGCUUGCUAGAAGAUGACGAGCGGCGGACGGGUGAGUAAUACUUAGGAAUCUACCUAGUAGUGGGGGAUAGCUCGGGGAAACUCGAAUUAAUACCGCAUACGACCUACGGGAGAAAGGGGGCAGUUUACUGCUCUCGCUAUUAGAUGAGCCUAAGUCGGAUUAGCUAGAUGGUGGGGUAAAGGCCUACCAUGGCGACGAUCUGUAGCUGGUCUGAGAGGAUGAUCAGCCACACCGGAACUGAGACACGGUCCGGACUCCUACGGGAGGCAGCAGUGGGGAAUAUUGGACAAUGGGGGCAACCCUGAUCCAGCCAUGCCGCGUGUGUGAAGAAGGCCUUUUGGUUGUAAAGCACUUUAAGCAGUGAAGAAGACUCCGUGGUUAAUACCCACGGACGAUGACAUUAGCUGCAGAAUAAGCACCGGCUAACUCUGUGCCAGCAGCCGCGGUAAUACAGAGGGUGCAAGCGUUAAUCGGAAUUACUGGGCGUAAAGCGAGCGUAGGUGGCUUGAUAAGUCAGAUGUGAAAUCCCCGGGCUUAACCUGGGAACUGCAUCUGAUACUGUUAGGCUAGAGUAGGUGAGAGGAAGGUAGAAUUCCAGGUGUAGCGGUGAAAUGCGUAGAGAUCUGGAGGAAUACCGAUGGCGAAGGCAGCCUUCUGGCAUCAUACUGACACUGAGGCUCGAAAGCGUGGGUAGCAAACAGGAUUAGAUACCCUGGUAGUCCACGCCGUAAACGAUGUCUACUAGUCGUUGGGUCCCUUGAGGACUUAGUGACGCAGCUAACGCAAUAAGUAGACCGCCUGGGGAGUACGGCCGCAAGGUUAAAACUCAAAUGAAUUGACGGGGGCCCGCACAAGCGGUGGAGCAUGUGGUUUAAUUCGAUGCAACGCGAAGAACCUUACCUGGUCUUGACAUAUCUAGAAUCCUGCAGAGAUGCGGGAGUGCCUUCGGGAAUUAGAAUACAGGUGCUGCAUGGCUGUCGUCAGCUCGUGUCGUGAGAUGUUGGGUUAAGUCCCGCAACGAGCGCAACCCUUUUCCUUAGUUACCAGCGGGUUAUGCCGGGAACUCUAAGGAUACUGC
rnacentral:rRNA from 1 species